GUGUCAGCCGCCGCGGUAAUACGUAGGGACCAAGCGUUGUUCGGAUUUACUGGGCGUAAAGGGCGCGUAGGCGGCGUGACAAGUCAAUUGUGAAAUCUCCGGGCUUAACUCGGAACGGUCAAUUGAUACUGUUGUGCUAGAGUACAGAAGGGGCAAUCGGAAUUCUUGGUGUAGCGGUGAAAUGCGUAGAUAUCAAGAGGAACACCUGAGGUGAAGACGGGUUGCUGGGCUGAUACUGACGCUGAGGCGCGAAAGCUAGGGUAGCAAACGGGAUUAGAUACCCUAGUAGUCC
rnacentral:rRNA from 1 species